GAACUCUCGGUGCGGACUUGCGGAGUCAGCUGCUGCCGCCAUGUCGGACGACAGCUUGGAUGAGUGGGAAAUAUUUCAGGAGCUGAGCGACGAACUGAAGAGGAAUAUCAGGCUCGCGGUCGUAUAUAGAGGUGGCGCAAUUUACAUGACAAAAGAUGACGAAGUUUUCGGCUUUGGGAAAAACCUAACAGGAUUUCUUGGUACUGGCGACAAGCAAUCACGCACAGAGCACACAAAAAUUGAACAAUUGUGCGGACAAAAUAUUCAAGAUUUGCAAUUUCCAUACUCAACGUUUUUUGCGAUUUCUGCUACCGGCUCAGUUUACGCCUGGGGAAAAAAUGAAAAUGGCCAGCUUGGACUGGGUACGAAAAAAGAAACCUUGAUCCCAACCAAAAUAGAAGGAAUUUUGGCAACAAAAAGAGUUGUCCAAGUGGCCUGCAGCGAUUUCCAUA